rnacentral:lncRNA from 1 species
AGGAGAGAGGAAUGACCACUGGGGACAGAGGUGAUAAGCAAAGUAUGCGAGCUGGGAGGGUGGAGGACAGGUCCCAAACAGGACGAAUGGUCGGCUGUGUAAACAGCUCUGUUAGUCCUGAUGCAUCCCUUUGGAAUCCCAGACCUGCUUGAGGGGGUGCAGACCUGCAGGACAGGCUAGGCUGGGUUCUCGGAACUCCAGCUUUCCCAGAUGCUUGGGGCUGGCCGUUAGCCAGAGACUCAGAAUCUCCCCUCCUGGGGAGGAUCUCAGCUGCCAUCGGGGGACCCCGGGGGGUGCAACUGAAGAGCCGUGGUGACCUCUGCGGGAAAGCAGCCCCUAAAACCUGCCCAGAGAGCUUGGGUGAAAAAGUUCGGUGGGUACAAGUCAGCCUCUGGCUGACUAGCCUGAAACCAAGGUCUCAGCCAUCACCGCCUGUGUUCUCCUCUGACGCCCAGGAACCACUUCCGAAGUCUUCUAAGUUGUUGACAGGGUUUCUCUGUGUAACAGCCCUGGCUGUCCUGGGACUCACUUUAUAGACCAGACUGGCCUCAAACUCAGAACUCAGAGAUCUGCCUGCCUCUGCCUCCCAAGUGCUGGGAUUAAAGGUGUGGGCAUUGGUGCUUUACCACUACAUACUCUGGAUUCUUGAGGUAUAUGCUGCUGCUGUUGGGUUCAGUAGGCUCUAAAUGUUGGCUGCAUUCUAGUGAGUGGUGCUGUUGAAUUUCUCUCUACCCUUGCUGAUUUUCAGGCUAGUUGUUGAGAAGUUUAUGUUGGAAUUUCAAAUGAUGUUGUCUAUUUCUCCUUUCGGUUCUGCUGGGUUUCAGUUCAUAUUGCUUUGAUGCUCUGGUGUUUGGUGAAAAUACAUUUACAAAU